CCGGUCUCUCACAAAGGCUACCUUGGCAACUGCUCAGAAUGUAAAGUCCCUCAGCCCCUGCAACCUCAAGGUAGCCAUCCAUUCUCCCUAUCUCCCUGAUGUGCCGCCUCACUGCUCACUGGCACCACCGUUUCUAGCUCUUCUCUGUGAGAAAUUCCGCAACAGGAACUGACAAACGGCCAACCAGUAACCAGCUCAACUUGAAACCCAUCCCAUGGACAAGCACCAAUGCAUGACAUCGUUAUCGAUACUCUGUUAUGCUUGUAAACAGGAAGCUAGCAUAACUGUCCUCUAGCGGGCUCUACCUGUUGCCUGUGCUCUGGACUACUUGCUACCUGACGCCACGUGCCCUUGGGUGCUGGGGCUGAGAUGGCACAGAGUCAACGACACAGACUCUGGGAACAGAGCCUGUUCUUAACACAGACGAGGAACCUGGGACAUUUGCCAGCUAAUUCACACCUCUCCCCCAAAAGUCUCAAAUACUUUUCUAACUCAUUGAGAAUAAAUGUCAAACUGCUUAAUGUGUUAUAGAUCCCAUGGAGCGUCUGGCUUCCUAGCUGUUAGCAUGUCUUUGGCUUC
rnacentral:lncRNA from 1 species